GCACAGCAUGGACAGCCGACCAAGGCCACAGACCAGACAUGGCCUACACUGACCAAAUCAGAUGUUGUAAGCCUAAAGAAGCAGGGACUGCUCCAAUUUCGUUUUGGAGAAGCCAGUAGCAGCCACAUCCAUCUUCUGAGGUAACAGGAGCAGUUGUGCCAGCACAGCACCCAAGGUUUUACCAUAUGCCUGGGACAAUUUGGCAAAGCAAGAAUGGACUUGUUCAAAGUCUUAAGAACAAAGAGGAAGAAGGUUUGUAUGUGUUCAGCAAAGAAAAAGAGAUACAAAUUAGAGAGAAAGAAGAGGGGUCUUGAAUCCAUGGAGCAUCGUUACACACCUUGACAGCCCUGGCUGUCUCCAAGAUUUGGGGAGAAAUGUCUUUUCAACACAGAAAUGAGAAAGAUGGCUCCUACGGCAGAUGGCAAAGCAGUUCUUUGUAUGCACUGCCAGAGGUAUGCUUAAAGCUAACAUUUCAAGCAGAAAGAGACUUUAGACAUCGUAUAUAAACCUCCUAACUCUUUAAUUUUUACAUAUGAAGAAACUGAAACCUAGGGAAGUUGUGACUUGCCUGAAUUUACACUGCCUGAAUCCAGGGGAAUUAGGAUAAGUGUUCCCCUAACCAAUGUUUCCUCAAAUCCACGUUCAGUACUUUUUUUUCCACUACACACAUGAAUUGCUUGCUCUCCAGAAGUAAUCCUUCCAUAUGUGGAAGGAGGUGCUUCUUCCAUGUUCAGUAUAAAAGCGAUGAAACAAAGUGAAGGAGGCAUGUUUCCCCCUUCUCUUGUAACCCCAUAGCCAGAGCAGCUAAAUUUCUAUACAUUCGGUACAACUCUUUCAGCUGGACUUCAGUUCUGCAGACGAAGGAUAUGUAAAGUAAGGUCAAGUUGGGUUAAUGCUGUGCUCCAGCCAAGGCUGUUCUGUGUGCAAAUAUCAGAAGCCAACUCAAAUUAGUUCGAGUAAAAGGAGUGCUAAUACCUGGGAUGCAGAAGUACUGUUUUUGGGUUUCACAUAAUUCAAGGAGAGUAAAGAAGUAAGGACAGGUUUUACAUGAACUGGAAAGCUGGGGCUGGGCACGGUGGCUCACACCUGUAAUCCCAGCACUUUUGGAGGCCGAGGCAGGUGGAUCACCUGAGGUCAGGAGUUGGAGACUAGCCUGGCCAACGUGGUGAAACUCCAUCUCUACUAAAAAAAUACAAAAAUUAGCUGGGCAUGGUGGCAGGCACCUAUAAUCCCGCAGACACCUAUAAUCCCAGCUACUCGGGAGACUGAGGCAGAGGUUGCAGUGAGCAGAGAUGGCACAACUGGACUCCAGCCUGGGCGACAGCAAGACUCUGUCUCAAAAAAAAAAAAAAAAAAAAAAAAGCAAAA